CGCGUAGGCGGUCUGCUAAGUUGGGUGUGAAAACUCUGGGCUUAACCCAGAGCCUGCAUUCAAAACUGACAGGCUAGAGUUCUGGAGGGGGAAGCGGAAUUCCUGGUGUAGCGGUGAAAUGCGUAGAUAUCAGGAGGAACACCGGUGGCGAAGGCGGCUUCCUGGACAGAAACUGACGCUGAGGCGCGAAGCUAGGGGAGCAAACA
rnacentral:rRNA from 1 species